GGGUGAGUAAUAUAUCGGAACGUGCCCAGUCGUGGGGGAUAACGCAGCGAAAGCUGUGCUAAUACCGCAUACGAUCUACGGAUGAAAGCGGGGGAUCGCAAGACCUCGCGCGAUUGGAGCGGCCGAUAUCAGAUUAGGUUGUUGGUGAGGUAAAAGCUCACCAAGCCGACGAUCUGUAGCUGGUCUGAGAGGACGACCAGCCACACUGGAACUGAGACACGGUCCAGACUCC
rnacentral:rRNA from 1 species